rnacentral:rRNA from 1 species
CAAUAGCGUAUAUUAAAGUUGUUGCAGUUAAAAAGCUCGUAGUUGGAUUUGUGGCGUACGGUGGGUUCCGGGCACUUGUUGUCUGAGUAACUUGCUGUUGCCAUCCUUGGGUGGAACCUGUGUGGCAUUAGGUUGUCGUGCAGGGGAUGCCCAUCACUUACUGUGAAAAAAUUAGAGUGUUCAAAGCAGGCUUAUGCCGUUGAAUAUAUUAGCAUGGAAUAAUGAGAUAGGACUUUUUUGCUAUUUUGUUGGUUUGCGCAAAGAGGUAAUGAUUAAUAGGGACAGUUGGGGGUAUUCGUAUUCCAUUGUCAGAGGUGAAAUUCUUGGAUUUUUGGAAGACAAACUACUGCGAAAGCAUUUACCAAGGAUGUUUUCAUUAA